rnacentral:rRNA from 1 species
CGCCAGACUCCUACGGGAGGCAGCAGUGGGGGAUAUUGCACAAUGGGGGAAACCCUGAUGCAGCGACGCCGCGUGUGGGAAGACGGCCCUCUGGAUUGUAAACCACUGUCCCCAGGGACGAAGAUGACGGUACCUGGGGAGGAAGCUCCGGCUAACUACGUGCCAGCAGCCGCGGUAAUACGUAGGGGGCAAGCGUUAUCCGGAUUUACUGGGUGUAAAGGGAGCGUAGACGGCGAUGCAAGCCAGAUGUGAAAGCCCGGGGCUCAACCCCGGGACUGCAUUUGGAACUGUGUGGCUGGAGUGUCGGAGGGGCAGGCGGGAUUCCUAGUGUAGCGGUGAAAUGCGUAGAUAUUAGGAGGAACACCAGUGGCGAAGGCGGCCUGCUGGACGAUGACUGACGUUGAGGCUCGAAAGCGUGGGGAGCAAACAGGAUUAGAUACCCUCGUA